rnacentral:rRNA from 1 species
GAGUUUGAUCUUGGCUCAGAUUGAACGCUGGCGGCAUGCCUUACACAUGCAAGUCGAACGGCAGCACGGGAGCUUGCUCCUGGUGGCGAGUGGCGAACGGGUGAGUAAUGCAUCGGAACGUAUCCUGGAGUGGGGGAUAACGUAGCGAAAGUUACGCUAAUACCGCAUAUUCUGUGAGCAGGAAAGCGGGGGACCUUCGGGCCUUGCGCUAUCAGAUGAGCCUAGGUCGGAUUAGCUAGUUGGUGGGGUAAUGGCUCACCAAGGCGACGAUCCGUAACUGGUCUGAGAGGAUGAUCAGUCACACUGGAACUGAGACACGGUCCAGACUCCUACGGGAGGC